rnacentral:rRNA from 1 species
UACGUAGGGUGCGAGCGUUAAUCGGAAUUACUGGGCGUAAAGCGUGCGCAGGCGGUUCUCCAAGUCCGUUGUGAAAGCCCCGGGCUCAACCUGGGAAUGGCAGUGGAAACUAGGGGACUGGAAUCUGGCAGAGGGGGGUGGAAUGCCGCGUGUAGCAGUGAAAUGCGUAGAGAUGCGGCGGAACACCGGUGGCGAAGGCAGCCCCCUGGGCUGAGAUUGACGCUCAGGCACGAAAGCGUGGGGAGCAAACAGG